rnacentral:rRNA from 1 species
AUUGAACGCUGGCGGCAUGCCUUACACAUGCAAGUCGAACGGCAGCACGGGAGCAAUCCUGGUGGCGAGUGGCGAACGGGUGAGUAAUAUAUCGGAACGUGCCCAGUCGUGGGGAUAACGUAGCGAAAGCUACGCUAAUACCGCAUACGAUCUAUGGAUGAAAGCGGGGGAGUCGCAAGACCUCGCGCGAUUGGAGCGGCCGAUAUCAGAUUAGGUAGUUGGUGAGGUAAAGGACUCACCAAGCCGACGAUCUGUAGCUGGUCUGAGAGGACGACCAGCCACACUGGGACUGAGACACGGCCCAGACUCCUACGGGAGGCAGCAGUGGGGAAGUUUUGGACAAAUGGGCGGCAAGCCUGAUCCAGCAAUGCCGCGUGCAGGAUG